GUUUAGCCAUUCUGCCAUGGACUGAGACACGGUCCAGACUCCUACGGGAGGCAGCAGUAGGGAAUAUUGCUCAAUGGGGGAAACCCUGAAGCAGCAACGCCGCGUGGAGGAUGAAGGUUUUAGGAUUGUAAACUCCUUUUGUUAGAGAAGAUAAUGACGGUAUCUAACGAAUAAGCACCGGCUAACUCCGUGCCAGCAGCCGCGGUAAUACGGAGGGUGCAAGCGUUACUCGGAAUCACUGGGCGUAAAGAGCGCGUAGGCGGGAUAGUCAGUCAGAUGUGAAAUCCUAUGGCUUAACCAUAGAACUGCAUUUGAAACUACUAUUCUAGAGUGUGGGAGAGGUAGGGUGGAAUA
rnacentral:rRNA from 1 species